GGCUUAACACAUGCAAGUCGAGGGGCAGCAUGGUCUUAGCUUGCUAAGACUGAUGGCGACCGGCGCACGGGUGAGUAACACGUAUCCAACCUGCCGUCUACUCUUGGACAGCCUUCUGAAAGGAAGAUUAAUACAAGAUGGCAUCAUGAGUCCGCAUGUUCACAUGAUUAAAGGUAUUCCGGUAGACGAUGGGGAUGCGUUCCAUUAGAUAGUAGGCGGGGUAACGGCCCACCUAGUCUUCGAUGGAUAGGGGUUCUGAGAGGAAGGUCCCCCACAUUGGAACUGAGACACGGUCCAAACUCCUACGGGAGGCAGCAGUGAGGAAUAUUGGUCAAUGGGCGAGAGCCUGAACCAGCCAAGUAGCGUGAAGGAUGACUGCCCUAUGGGUUGUAAACUUCUUUUAUAAAGGAAUAAAGUCGGGUAUGCAUACCCGUUUGCAUGUACUUUAUGAAUAAGGAUCGGCUAACUCCGUGCCAGCAGCCGCGGUAAUACGGAGGAUCCGAGCGUUAUCCGGAUUUAUUGGGUUUAAAGGGAGCGUAGAUGGAUGUUUAAGUCAGUUGUGAAAGUUUGCGGCUCAACCGUAAAAUUGCAGUUGAUACUGGAUAUCUUGAGUGCAGUUGAGGCAGGCGGAAUUCGUGGUGUAGCGGUGAAAUGCUUAGAUAUCACGAAGAACUCCGAUUGCGAAGGCAGCCUGCUAAGCUGCAACUGACAUUGAGGCUCGAAAGUGUGGGUAUCAACCAGGAUUAGAUACCCUGGUAGUCCACACGGUAAACGAUGAAUACUCGCUGUUUGCGAUAUACUGCAAGCGGCCAAGCGAAAGCGUUAAGUAUUCCACCUGGGGAGUACGCCGGCAACGGUGAAACUCAAAGGAAUUGACGGGGGCCCGCACAAGCGGAGGAACAUGUGGUUUAAUUCGAUGAUACGCGAGGAACCUUACCCGGGCUUAAAUUGCAGAUGAAUUACGGUGAAAGCCGUAAGCCGCAAGGCAUCUGUGAAGGUGCUGCAUGGUUGUCGUCAGCUCGUGCCGUGAGGUGUCGGCUUAAGUGCCAUAACGAGCGCAACCCUUGUUGUCAGUUACUAACAGGUUCCGCUGAGGACUCUGACAAGACUGCCAUCGUAAGAUGUGAGGAAGGUGGGGAUGACGUCAAAUCAGCACGGCCCUUACGUCCGGGGCUACACACGUGUUACAAUGGGGGGUACAGAGGGCCGCUACCACGCGAGUGGAUGCCAAUCCCCAAAACCUCUCUCAGUUCGGACUGGAGUCUGCAACCCGACUCCACGAAGCUGGAUUCGCUAGUAAUCGCGCAUCAGCCACGGCGCGGUGAAUACGUUCCCGGGCCUUGUACACACCGCCCGUCAAGCCAUGGGAGCCGGGGGUACCUGAAGUGCGUAACCGCGAGGAGCGCCCUAGGGUAAAACUGGUGACUGGGGCUAAG
rnacentral:rRNA from 1 species